rnacentral:rRNA from 1 species
UACGGAGGAUGCGAGCGUUAUCCGGAUUUAUUGGGUUUAAAGGGUGCGUAGGCGGGAUGCCAAGUCAGCGGUAAAAAUGCGGUGCUCAACGCCGUCGAGCCGUUGAAACUGGCGUUCUUGAGUGGGCGAGAAGUAUGCGGAAUGCGUGGUGUAGCGGUGUAAUGCAUAGAUAUCACGCAGAACUCCGAUUGCGAAGGCAGCAUACCGGCGCCCUACUGACGCUGAGGCACGAAAGCGUGGGUAUCGAACAGG